rnacentral:lncRNA from 1 species
CUCUAUCUCUCUAUCUCUGGUUCUCUCUAGAACCUUCCCCCUUCCCCUUCUCUCUGAUGAGUUCCCUUCAUCUUCUCUAGCUACAUUCUUACCUGAAUCCAUGGUGGUUUUACCACCCACCAACCUCCUAUGGCUCCUCACGCUUGGUUACUGAAGUUUCAUGACUUGAUCACAAAAAUUUGGGUACAUACCUCUGUUGAUUCAAGAUUUACGGCCAUCUCCGGCAAGCUACGUCUAUUUCGAGCAUGGAUCCGACUCCUCCUUCUUAGAUCCAAGACUUUCUCAGCGUUUGGGUUCCUCUGAAACCCUAGCUUUUGAGAUUUUUCUGAUCUCUGUAGAUCUAUUCCAGUCCAAGUUUUCCCUUAGUUUUUAAACAAUUUUAUGAUAUUUCUUUCAAAAGUUAUGCUUUUAAAACCUUUAUUUUUCGAUCUAGGGUUUUGAGUUAUGUUUCUAUGAUUUUCUUGUGUGUUUCUCUGAUUUUCUUUUUCUCUUGUGUGUUUCUCUAAUUUUCUUCUUCUCUUGUGUGUUUUCUAUUACGCCUCUCCUACUGUGUUCUUGUUAAAUUUUUUCUACCAUGUUCUUCUAUUAUAUUGCUCCUACUGUGUUCUUGUUAAAAUUUCUUCUACCAUGUUCUUCUGCUAUGUUUCUCCUACUGUGCUUUUGUUAAUAUUCUCCUACCGUGUUCCUAUUUGUUUCUUCUACCAGUUCCUAUACUGUUGUUUCACAUUACUAUAUUUGUCAUGAAUUUGUGUUACUGAAGGAACAUGUUAAAAGAUCUCAGUUCCUUUCUGAGACCUUUCAACCUGUUUCAAGUAGUGUCUUUUUCCCUAAUCACUUGCCCUUUCUUCUCUGCACUCGAUUAAUGGCAACAACCAUAAAUUUUGGGGUUCAUCCGAGUUUUCAGACCCCAGGCUAUGUGAUUUGCUGGCUCUUCAUCUUUGAACUUGCAUGAUUUCAAAAACCCUAAUUUUUGGACCUAUUUGACUUCCUGAAAUUGUUUCCUCUACUGCUUCAUUGAGUUUCAAAAUUAUUGUUUCAAUUUUGUUUAUUCAUAUGAUUCUGACUUUUGCCAAACACUAUAAGACCUUUUACUUGAUCCCUUCUCGCAUGUCUGGUACUUGUGUGCUCUUUAUAUGUGUUGGACUUCCCCUCUAAAAUGGCUUUCAAAUUUUGAUUAGUUUCAGACUUCCUAUAGGUUUGACUUAUUUCUUUCCUUGUUUGCUGAUUUCCCUACGACUCGAUUUAAGUUACUUGUCUUUCCUUAACUUUUUCUGACUUGGUUCAUUCAUGGACCUGUGAUUACAAAAUCUCUGAUCCUUGAUUUACUGGCUACUAAUUAAUUUCUCUUACCUUAUUUAUGAAACCGUGUAUUUCAAAGCUCUAACCCUAAAAUAAACUUCUAUGUAUUUACCCCUAAUUGCCUAAGUUGCACAAAAUGCUUGUUUGAUUUCUUUUUUAAAUAACUUUUACCAUUUGAAUCUGAAUUCCUUAAUUAAAGGAAGUCCUGUAUUAUUGAUUCUUAAUUGAUAUUGAGUUCCUUAACUAUUUUCUUACCCUAUUUCUACCUGUUUUUCACACUAUAAAUGCACGACUCUUUAUUUAACACAUCAUCUCACAGUCUUUCUGACUUACACUUACACGCAAUAGUAUUCUCUCCUAUUAUCUACAUUGUGGCCUGCUUACAAGACCAACUGCUUUUCUCUAUUUGUUUCUUUGAAACUGGUAUGUCCUGAUUUAAGCUUUAGCACCACAACAAUGUGUUUAUUUACUAUUUUUGUAUCUAUGUCUAUUUACUGUUUCUGUAUGAUUUAAGCUUUAGCACCACAACAAUGUGUUUAUUUACUAUUUUUGUAACAAUGUCUAUUUACUGUUUCUGUAUUGUUCAACACUUACUUUAACAUUGCUGAUUCUUUCUGCCUAUUCUAUUAUGAAUCGCAAAUCCCUGACCCAUAUGUGUUUGAGCUAUGGCUUAAGGCAUGACAAUAUGCAAAUUAUUGUCCAUGAAUUAAACUUGAUCGCUUGGGAUCCUAGCCUCUAAAUAGUGUGUUCUAACAGUCUUAUGGUAUGAUAGCAUUCUCCAUUACUGGGCAUGCCCAUUGCCUGCCCUUGCCUCUUUCAAUUUUCCUAUUCUACAUGAACCCUUUAUAUGUACUUAUUUGUAGCUAUUUCCCUUUCCUUUUCCCCUUUUAGAAUUCGGUUUCUGCACUUGCACACUCUCUUAGACUUUAAGUUCUGCCCCCCUUUUGUGAGCCUUGCCUUGGGACUCUUUGACCUUCAUUUGAACUUGGACACUUGAGGGCUAGCCUUUCCACACUGCACUUGUCCUAAUCUGAUAAUACAUUUGGGUGUGAGCAUUGCUUGGAGUCCUUUUUGAGGCUCUUAGGGAACUUUGACACACUCAAAUGGG